AUAUUCAUUUUGCCUGCCAUCAAGUUUCAUGUCAAGUCAAGCUUAUUUAUAUAGCCCUACAUCACAAGCAAGUCUCAAAUGGCUUCACAUGUAGAAACAUUGACAAUUAUUCUCAAACAUCCCCUGAUC